UACCUGCAGCUCUAGUGGUGGCCGCUAUUAUUGGGCCUAAAACGUCCGUAGCCUGUUUAUUAAAUGCCUAGGUAAAUUGUGUGGCUUAACCAUACGAAUUCUGGGUAGACUGGUAAACUUGAGACCGGGAGAAGCUAGAGGUACUUCUGGGGUAGAGGUGAAAUUCUGUAAUCCUAGGGGGACCACCAGUGGCGAAAGCGUCUAGCUAGAACGGGUUUGACGGUGAGGGACGAAGCCCUGGGGCGCAAACGGGAUUAGACACCCCGGUAGUCCAGGGUGUAAACGCUGCUUGCUUGAUGUUGGUUGGGCUCCGAGCCCAAUCAGUGUCGGAGAGAAGUUGUUAAGCAAGCUGCCUGGGAAUUACGGUCGCAAGACUGAAACUUAAAGGAAUUGGGCGGGGGAGCACCGCAACGGGAGGAGCGUGCGGUUU
rnacentral:rRNA from 1 species